AUACUUUCCCAGAAGGCGGGAUACCAUGAUCAGGAGGUUUUGCCAGAGUGAGGAUCAUCCAUUGCCCUGGACAUGUGCUGACCCCUGUGAGGAAAACUCACCGAUAAUCUGUGGCAGUCAGGGGACUGUAUUAGAAACAAGAUACAGUUGUCCCAAAGGGCUGUGCUACCCUGC
rnacentral:snRNA from 14 species